rnacentral:rRNA from 1 species
ACUCAAAGGAAUUGACGGGGACCCGCACAAGCAGCGGAGCAUGUGGUUUAAUUCGAAGCAACGCGAAGAACCUUACCAGGACUUGACAUUGCAUGACAGGUGUGGAAACACAUCCUCCUUCGGGCAUGCGGACAGGUGGUGCAUGGUUGUCGUCAGCUCGUGUCGUGAGAUGUUCGGUUAAGUCCGGCAACGAGCGCAACCCUUAUGAUAUGUUGCCAAUAUUAAGUUAGGAACUCAUAUCAGACUGCCGUGGAUAACACGGAGGAAGGUGGGGAUGACGUCAAAUCAUCAUGCCCCUUACGUUCUGGGCUACACACGUGCUACAAUGGGCGCUACAAAGAGCAGCAAAACUGUGAAGUCGAGCGAAUCUCAAAAAAGCGUUCUCAGUUCGGAUUGAUGGCUGAAACCCGCCAUCAUGAAGUCGGAGUUGCUAGUAAUCCCGAAUCAGAAUGUCGGGGUGAAUGCGUUCCCGGGUCUUGUACACACCGCCCGU